UGCAAGAGAUGGACAAGCAGCAUUGUGAUGUGAGCAUUAAGCACUGUCACAAUGCGCCCAUCUGAGGGCUAUGCAAAUCUGGGCCAUUUGAGAGCUGACAGCAACGCAGUCUUGGUGAUGAAACCUUCCCCAGCUCCAGGAUUCUGACUUCAGAGCCUACGCUGGAGUUAUACUGAAGGACUUGGAAUAAACUGAAGUUGGAAAUCACAUUAGGAUUUCAUAGAAGGUCCUAGGCUAAGUAUUGAUAACAGACAUGAAGAUAAGGAUACAGUCCCUGCACAGGACAGCCCUAGACUUGAUGGUGUGAGAAGACAAAGAAGACGUAUAUUUUCCAGGAAGGUAAGAUAAAAAGACAAGACAGAAUCCCAGGCCUACCUACCAACCAGCAGCCUCUUCUCUCGCUGAGCUGGAAUCCCAGUUUGAAGACGGGGACUUCCAAUUUCAUGUGUUUGCCAGAUUCCCUCAUCCGUGACUUGUGAACACCCGAGAGUCAAAGAAAGAGUCCUCAUGCUUUUUCUGAGACCUUCUGGACCCAGCACUCACAUGCUGACUGGCUGAUCGCUGACCUGCCCCGUGUUUUUAUGAGGAGCUUGAUAAGUAUGUGGUUGUGAGUUAAGGUAACUGGAGUGAAAAGGCUAGACUUGGUGUCUGUAAGCUAGCCAAAGGGGAGUUAUGACCAUAGCAGUAUGGUGUUAUGGCUUUUAGACUAGUAACUCCCCAUGUUUAACGUGCAUCAUCAACCCUCUGCAUACAGUUGCAGAAUCGUCCUGUCCACCCUGUUGGAUCAUCACAGAGGAGCUCAGAUAGCAGCUCUGGAGCCAUUUGAUGGAGACAUACACAGCUCAUUUCCCAACUUCAACACAGUGGCUAUUUUGCUUCUCAGAGUAGCAAAGAGUAAUAAUUUCAACAAUUGACCUCAUGCUUCGAGUGCUAACAAACUAAAGUGCUUGGUUCCUCUCCUUGACGCUUCACACACUUACAGAACUCUCCCAGCACCCUGCAGGACUGUAGCUAGAUGACUGAUGGGGAUGUGUAAGAAGGAGAGCAGUCCACCCUUGAACCUACAGAGGGAGGGCAGAGACAUAAGCCCAUGGCACCUUCACCAACUAUCUAGGGUUUGCUGUAUGCUUGGUAGUGGGCCGAUCUAUCUCAGCUUACAGUCAGGAUGCUAAUGAGAGCAGAGAAUGCCGAAGCACCCUGGGGAGAUGUUUGGAGGACUGGACACUGGGUGGGAGGUUUUCAACCUUAGGAGUUGCUUUUCUGAGAUGUGUGCCUACCUUUUUGCUGUUCUGGUGAUCCAAACCCAAGGCCUUGAGACACGAGCGAGCCCUGAGCUAUACCCACACCCCAGUCGCUGAGGUAGAACAUUUGAG
rnacentral:sRNA from 1 species